AGAGUUUGAUCCUGGCUCAGAUUGAACGCUGGCGGAAUGCUUUACACAUGCAAGUCGAACGGCAGCACGGGAGCUUGCUCCUGGUGGCGAGUGGCGAACGGGUGAGUAAUACAUAGGAACAUACCCAGUAAUGGGGGAUAACGCCGAGAAAUCGGUGCUAAUACCGCAUACGCCCUACGGGGGAAAGCGGGGGAUCUUCGGACCUCGCGUUAUUGGAUUGGCCUAUGUCUGAUUAGCUAGUUGGUGAGGUAAAGGCUCACCAAGGCGACGAUCAGUAGCUGGUCUGAGAGGAUGAUCAGCCACACUGGAACUGAGACACGGUCCAGACUCCUACGGGAGGCAGCAGUGGGGAAUUUUGGACAAUGGGCGAAAGCCUGAUCCAGCCAUUCCGCGUGAGUGAAGAAGGCCUUCGGGUUGUAAAGCUCUUUCGGCAGGAACGAAAUGGUCGUGGUUAAUAACCGCGACUUCUGACGGUACCUGAAGAAGAAGCACCGGCUAACUACGUGCCAGCAGCCGCGGUAAUUC
rnacentral:rRNA from 2 species